UUAAGUGACUAAGCGUACACGGUGGAUGCCUAGGCAGUCAGAGGCGAUGAAGGGCGUGCUAAUCUGCGAAAAGCGUCGGUAAGGUGAUAUGAACCGUUACAACCGGCGAUACCCGAAUGGGGAAACCCAGUGUGUUUCGACACACUAUCAUGUCAUGAAUACAUAGUGGCAUGAGGCGAACCGGGGGAACUGAAACAUCUAAGUACCCCGAGGAAAAGAAAUCAACCGAGAUUCCCCCAGUAGCGGCGAGCGAACGGGGAGGAGCCCAGAACCUGAAUCGGCUUGUGUGUUAGUGGAAGCGUCUGGAAAGUCGCGCAGCAAAGGGUGAUAGCCCCGUACACUAAAAUGCACAGGUCGUGAGUUCGAUGAGUAGGGCGGGACACGUGACAUCCUGUCUGAAUAUGGGGGGACCAUCCUCCAAGGCUAAAUACUCCUGACUGACCGAUAGUGAACCAGUACCGUGAGGGAAAGGCGAAAAGAACCCCGGCGAGGGGAGUGAAAUAGAACCUGAAACCGUGUACGUACAAGCAGUGGGAGCACCUUCGUGGUGUGACUGCGUACCUUUUGUAUAAUGGGUCAGCGACUUAUAUUUUGUAGCAAGGUUAACCGUAUAGGGGAGCCGUAGGGAAACCGAGUCUUAACUGGGCGAAUAGUUGCAAGGUAUAGACCCGAAACCCGGUGAUCUAGCCAUGGGCAGGUUGAAGGUUGGGUAACACUAACUGGAGGACCGAACCGACUAAUGUUGAAAAAUUAGCGGAUGACUUGUGGCUGGGGGUGAAAGGCCAAUCAAACCGGGAGAUAGCUGGUUCUCCCCGAAAGCUAUUUAGGUAGCGCCUCGUGAACUCAUCUUCGGGGGUAGAGCACUGUUUCGGCUAGGGGGCCAUCCCGGCUUACCAAACCGAUGCAAACUCCGAAUACCGAAGAAUGUUAUCACGGGAGACACACGGCGGGUGCUAACGUCCGUCGUGAAGAGGGAAACAACCCAGACCGCCAGCUAAGGUCCCAAAGUCAUGGUUAAGUGGGAAACGAUGUGGGAAGGCAUAGACAGCCAGGAUGUUGGCUUAGAAGCAGCCAUCAUUUAAAGAAAGCGUAAUAGCUCACUGGUCGAGUCGGCCUGCGCGGAAGAUGUAACGGGGCUAAACCAUGCACCGAAGCUGCGGCAGCGACGCUUAGGCGUUGUUGGGUAGGGGAGCGUUCUGUAAGCCGUUGAAGGUGGCCUGUGAGGGUUGCUGGAGGUAUCAGAAGUGCGAAUGCUGACAUAAGUAACGAUAAAGCGGGUGAAAAGCCCGCUCGCCGGAAGACCAAGGGUUCCUGUCCAACGUUAAUCGGGGCAGGGUGAGUCGACCCCUAAGGCGAGGCUGAAAAGCGUAGUCGAUGGGAAACAGGUUAAUAUUCCUGUACUUGGUGUUACUGCGAAGGGGGGACGGAGAAGGCUAGGCUAGCCGGGCGACGGUUGUCCCGGUUUAAGCGUGUAGGGGGUGUGACCUGGUAAAUCCGGUUGCAUAUCAACCCUGAGGCGUGAUGACGAUGCACUACGGUGCAGAAGUAGUUGAUGCCCUGCUUCCAGGAAAAGCCUCUAAGCUCCAGGUAACAUUAAAUCGUACCCCAAACCGACACAGGUGGUCAGGUAGAGAAUACCAAGGCGCUUGAGAGAACUCGGGUGAAGGAACUAGGCAAAAUGGUGCCGUAACUUCGGGAGAAGGCACGCUGGCAUGUAGGUGAAGUCCCUUGCGGAUGGAGCUGAAGCCAGUCGAAGAUACCAGCUGGCUGCAACUGUUUAAUAAAAACACAGCACUGUGCAAACACGAAAGUGGACGUAUACGGUGUGACGCCUGCCCGGUGCUGGAAGGUUAAUUGAUGGGGUCAGCCGCAAGGCGAAGCUCUUGAUCGAAGCCCCAGUAAACGGCGGCCGUAACUAUAACGGUCCUAAGGUAGCGAAAUUCCUUGUCGGGUAAGUUCCGACCUGCACGAAUGGCGUAAUGAUGGCCAGGCUGUCUCCACCCGAGACUCAGUGAAAUUGAACUCGCUGUGAAGAUGCAGUGUACCCGCGGCAAGACGGAAAGACCCCGUGAACCUUUACUAUAGCUUGACACUGAACAUUGAGCCUUGAUGUGUAGGAUAGGUGGGAGGCUUUGAAGCGUGGACGCCAGUCUGCGUGGAGCCAUCCUUGAAAUACCACCCUUUAAUGUUUGAUGUUCUAACUCGGCCCCAUAAUCUGGGGUGAGGACAGUGUCUGGUGGGUAGUUUGACUGGGGCGGUCUCCUCCCAAAGAGUAACGGAGGAGCACGAAGGUUAGCUAAUCACGGUCGGACAUCGUGAGGUUAGUGCAAAGGCAUAAGCUAGCUUGACUGCGAGAGUGACGGCUCGAGCAGGUACGAAAGUAGGUCUUAGUGAUCCGGUGGUUCUGAAUGGAAGGGCCAUCGCUCAACGGAUAAAAGGUACUCCGGGGAUAACAGGCUGAUACCGCCCAAGAGUUCAUAUCGACGGCGGUGUUUGGCACCUCGAUGUCGGCUCAUCACAUCCUGGGGCUGAAGUAGGUCCCAAGGGUAUGGCUGUUCGCCAUUUAAAGUGGUACGCGAGCUGGGUUUAGAACGUCGUGAGACAGUUCGGUCCCUAUCUGCCGUGGGCGUUGGAAGAUUGAGAGGGGUUGCUCCUAGUACGAGAGGACCGGAGUGAACGCACCACUGGUGUUCGGGUUGUCAUGCCAAUGGCAUUGCCCGGUAGCUAAGUGCGGAAAAGAUAAGCGCUGAAAGCAUCUAAGCGCGAAACUUGCCUCAAGAUGAGUCUUCCCUGGGCCUUUAAGGUCCCUGAAGGAACGUUUAAGACUAAGACGUUGAUAGGCUGGGUGUGUAAGUGCAGCGAUGCAUUGAGCUAACCAGUACUAAUGAUCCGUGAGGCUUAACCUU
rnacentral:rRNA from 2 species